GUGGCGAGGAAAUUUAGGUGCGAAUGUACGUAUCACGCAGAAAGGUUACCCAAGCUGUUCAACACGAAUAGUUUCACACUUUCGUAUCUGCAGCAGGCCGGUUCUGCACUACCCUCUGAUCGAUACAUUUCCUCUUUCUCUGCUGGUUGCAUAGCAUACGUACUAUGCCCCUCUCUCGAUCUAUAUAUUAUACGAUGGAGCGAGGAGCUCAACGGCGAUGACAUGGGCAUCCCGGCCUGUCACUAAUAAGCUUGCUAGUUGGGUGAUUUGGACUGCUAGGUAGCUAGCCAGCCGUCGAUUCAUCACUAGAAGAAGCUGCUAGCUAGCUAGUACACGAUGAUCGCGUGGGGCGACAUCUACAACGUGGUGUCAGGAAUGGCGCCGCUCUACUUCGCGCUGGUGCUCGGGUACGGCUCGGUGCGGUGGUGGCGGCUCUUCACGGCGGCGCAGUGCGGCGCCAUCAACACGCUGGUGGCGAACUUCUCCAUGCCCUUCUUCACCCUGGACUUCCUGGCGCGCGCCGACCCCUACGCCAUGAACUACCGCGUGCUGGCCGCCGACGCCGUGUCCAAGGCGCUGCUGGCCGUGGCCGCCGGCGGUGGCGCCGGCUCGCGGUCCUCGUCCUGGGCCAUCACCGGGUUCUCCCUCGCCGGGUUCAACAACACGCUCGUGGUCGGCGUGCCGCUGCUCUUCGCCAUGUACGGCAAGUGGGCGCAGGACCUCGUGGUGCAGGUCGCCGUCGUGCAGGCCCUCGUCUGGUUCCCGCUCCUGCUGCUGGGGUUCGAGCUGCGCAGGGCGUGGGUCGGCGGCGUCCCGCGGGCCCAAGGCGUCGGCGUUGGCGUCGGCCGUUGCAGCAGCGAUGAUGAUGAUGGUGACGGCCACUUGGGAGGCCGCGUUGGCCCGGUGUCGUUACCGCCGCCGCUCAAGACGAAGGACGUCGAGAUGAACGCGGCGGAGGAGGAAGCCGCUGAUGACGACGCGCCCGCCGCCGCCGGGGCAAUCCGGCUGUGGCCGACGGUGAGGACCGUGGGGCUGAAGCUGGUGGGGAACCCCAUGUCUACGCCAGCGUGGUCGGCGUGGUGUGGGCGUGCAUCGCCUACAGGUAGGGGUACGUGUAGGCUGUAGCAGACUAGCUAGCAGUACGCACGCGGUCCAUAGUCCAUACACAGACCACGCGGUCAGGUCACCAUGUACUCACCACCUGCGCUGCGUCUGCACGGCCAAGUGUCACCCGGCCGCCGCCGUAUUGCCCAGCCCGUCCCGUGCAUGCAUGCGCUCCUGUGCUGACGUGUCGAGACCGUGGCGUGUUUGUGCAUGCAGGUGGGACCUCAGCUUGCCGGGCAUCGUGACGGGAUCGCUGGGCGUCAUGUCCCGGACUGGCACGGGGAUGAGCAUGUUCAGCAUGGGUAAGCCGACGGUACGACCCAUAAUGUGCAUCAUCGUCGUUCGUGGACUGUGUUACUACAGACAGAGAUUAAGACCAACUGACGCAGUGCUCCUGUAUAUGCAUGGUUUGUUCGUUUCAUUCAGGGAUG